rnacentral:rRNA from 1 species
AGACCCGAAACCCGGUGAUCUAGCCAUGGGCAGGUUGAAGGUUGGGUAACACUAACUGGAGGACCGAACCGACUAAUGUUGAAAAAUUAGCGGAUGACCUGUGGCUGGGGGUGAAAGGCCAAUCAAACCGGGAGAUAGCUGGUUCUCCCCGAAAGCUAUUUAGGUAGCGCCUCGUGAAUUCAUCUCCGGGGGUAGAGCACUGUUUCGGCUAGGGGGCCAUCCCGGCUUACCAACCCGAUGCAAACUGCGAAUACCGGAGAAUGUUAUCACGGGAGACACACGGCGGGUGCUAACGUCCGUCGUGAAGAGGGAAACAACCCAGACCGCCAGCUAAGGUCCCAAAGUCAUGGUUAAGUGGGAAACGAUGUGGGAAGGCCCAGACAGCCAGGAUGUUGGCUUAGAAGCAGCCAUCAUUUAAAGAAAGCGUAAUAGCUCACUGGUCGAGUCGGCCUGCGCGGAAGAUGUAACGGGGCUAAACCAUGCACCGAAGCUGCGGCAGCGACACUGUGUGUUGUUGGGUAGGGGAGCGUUCUGUAAGCCUGUGAAGGUGUGUCGUGAGGCAUGCUGGAGGUAUCAGAAGUGCGAAUGCUGACAUAAGUAACGAUAAAGCGGGUGAAAAGCCCGCUCGCCGGAAGACCAAGGGUUCCUGUCCAACGUUAAUCGGGGCAGGGUGAGUCGACCCCUAAGGCGAGGCCGAAAGGCGUAGUCGAUGGGAAACGGGUUAAUAUUCCCGUACUUGGUGUUACUGCGAAGGGGGGACGGAGAAGGCUAUGUUGGCCGGGCGACGGUUGUCCCGGUUUAAGCGUGUAGGUGUGUGUUCCAGGUAAAUCCGGUUCACUUUAACACUGAGGCGUGACGACGAGGCACUACGGUGCUGAAGCAACAAAUGCCCUGCUUCCAGGAAAAGCCUCUAAGCAUCAGGUAACAUCAAAUCGUACCCCAAACCGACACAGGUGGUCAGGUAGAGAAUACCAAGGCGCUUGAGAGAACUCGGGUGAAGGAACUAGGCAAAAUGGUGCCGUAACUUCGGGAGAAGGCACGCUGACACGUAGGUGAAGUGAUUUACUCAUGGAGCUGAAGUCAGUCGAAGAUACCAGCUGGCUGCAACUGUUUAUUAAAAACACAGCACUGUGCAAACACGAAAGUGGACGUAUACGGUGUGACGCCUGCCCGGUGCCGGAAGGUUAAUUGAUGGGGUCAGCGCAAGCGAAGCUCCUGAUCGAAGCCCCGGUAAACGGCGGCCGUAACUAUAACGGUCCUAAGGUAGCGAAAUUCCUUGUCGGGUAAGUUCCGACCUGCACGAAUGGCGUAAUGAUGGCCAGGCUGUCUCCACCCGAGACUCAGUGAAAUUGAACUCGCUGUGAAGAUGCAGUGUACCCGCGGCAAGACGGAAAGACCCCGUGAACCUUUACUAUAGCUUGACACUGAACAUUGAGCCUUGAUGUGUAGGAUAGGUGGGAGGCUUUGAAGUGUGGACGCCAGUCUGCAUGGAGCCGACCUUGAAAUACCACCCUUUAAUGUUUGAUGUUCUAACGUGGACCCGUUACCCGGGUUGCGGACAGUGUCUGGUGGGUAGUUUGACUGGGGCGGUCUCCUCCUAAAGAGUAACGGAGGAGCACGAAGGUUGGCU